rnacentral:rRNA from 1 species
UACAGAGGGUGCAAGCGUUGUUCGGAAUUAUUGGGCGUAAAGCGCGUGUAGGCGGCUUGGCAAGUCAGAUGUGAAAGCCCUCGGCUUAACCGAGGAAGUGCGUCUGAAGCUGCUGAGCUUGAGUGUCGGAGAGGAUGGCGGAAUUCCGCAAGUAGAGGUGAAAUUCGUAGAUAUGCGGAGGAACACCGGUGGCGAAGGCGGCCAUCUGGACGACUACUGACGCUGAGACGCGAAAGCGUGGGGAGCAAACAGG